UCAAGUGAAGAAGCGCAUACGGUGGAUGCCUUGGCAGUCAGAGGCGAUGAAAGACGUGGUAGCCUGCGAAAAGCUUCGGGGAGUCGGCAAACAGACUUUGAUCCGGAGAUGUCUGAAUGGGGGAACCCAGCCAUCAUAAGAUGGUUAUCUUGUACUGAAUACAUAGGUGCAAGAGGCGAACCAGGGGAACUGAAACAUCUAAGUACCCUGAGGAAAAGAAAUCAACCGAGAUUCCCUUAGUAGUGGCGAGCGAACGGGGACUAGCCCUUAAGUGGCUUUGAGAUUAGCGGAACGCUCUGGAAAGUGCGGCCAUAGUGGGUGAUAGCCCUGUACGCGAAAAUCUCUUAGUCAUGAAAUCGAGUAGGACGGAGCACGAGAAACUUUGUCUGAAUAUGGGGGGACCAUCCUCCAAGGCUAAAUACUACUGACUGACCGAUAGUGAACUAGUACCGUGAGGGAAAGGCGAAAAGAACCCCGGAGAGGGGAGUGAAAUAGAUCCUGAAACCGUAUGCGUACAAGCAGUGGGAGCCUACUUUGUUAGGUGACUGCGUACCUUUUGUAUAAUGGGUCAGCGACUUAUUUUCAGUGGCGAGCUUAACCGAAUAGGGGAGGCGUAGCGAAAGCGAGUCUUAAUAGGGCGUCUAGUCGCUGGGAAUAGACCCGAAACCGGGCGAUCUAUCCAUGGGCAGGUUGAAGGUUGGGUAACACUAACUGGAGGACCGAACCGACUACCGUUGAAAAGUUAGCGGAUGACCUGUGGAUCGGAGUGAAAGGCUAAUCAAGCUCGGAGAUAGCUGGUUCUCCUCGAAAGCUAUUUAGGUAGCGCCUCAUGUAUCACUGUAGGGGGUAGAGCACUGUUUCGGCUAGGGGGUCAUCCCGACUUACCAAACCGAUGCAAACUCCGAAUACCUACAAGUGCCGAGCAUGGGAGACACACGGCGGGUGCUAACGUCCGUCGUGAAAAGGGAAACAACCCAGACCGUCAGCUAAGGUCCCAAAGUUAUGGUUAAGUGGGAAACGAUGUGGGAAGGCUUAGACAGCUAGGAGGUUGGCUUAGAAGCAGCCACCCUUUAAAGAAAGCGUAAUAGCUCACUAGUCGAGUCGGCCUGCGCGGAAGAUGUAACGGGGCUCAAACCAUACACCGAAGCUACGGGUAUCACGUAAGUGAUGCGGUAGAGGAGCGUUCUGUAAGCCUGUGAAGGUGAGUUGAGAAGCUUGCUGGAGGUAUCAGAAGUGCGAAUGCUGACAUGAGUAACGACAAUGGGUGUGAAAAACACCCACGCCGAAAGACCAAGGUUUCCUGCGCAACGUUAAUCGACGCAGGGUUAGUCGGUCCCUAAGGCGAGGCUGAAAAGCGUAGUCGAUGGAAAACAGGUUAAUAUUCCUGUACUUCUGGUUAUUGCGAUGGAGGGACGGAGAAGGCUAGGCCAGCUUGGCGUUGGUUGUCCAAGUUUAAGGUGGUAGGCUGAGAUCUUAGGUAAAUCCGGGAUCUUAAGGCCGAGAGCUGAUGACGAGCUAACUUUUAGUUAGCGAAGUGGUUGAUGCCAUGCUUCCAAGAAAAGCUUCUAAGCUUCAGGUAACCAGGAACCGUACCCCAAACCGACACAGGUGGUUGGGUAGAGAAUACCAAGGCGCUUGAGAGAACUCGGGUGAAGGAACUAGGCAAAAUGGCACCGUAACUUCGGGAGAAGGUGCGCCGGUGAGGGUGAAGGACUUGCUCCGUAAGCUCAUGCCGGUCGAAGAUACCAGGCCGCUGCGACUGUUUAUUAAAAACACAGCACUCUGCAAACACGAAAGUGGACGUAUAGGGUGUGACGCCUGCCCGGUGCCGGAAGGUUAAUUGAUGGGGUUAGCUAACGCGAAGCUCUUGAUCGAAGCCCCGGUAAACGGCGGCCGUAACUAUAACGGUCCUAAGGUAGCGAAAUUCCUUGUCGGGUAAGUUCCGACCUGCACGAAUGGCGUAACGAUGGCGGCGCUGUCUCCACCCGAGACUCAGUGAAAUUGAAAUCGCUGUGAAGAUGCAGUGUAUCCGCGGCUAGACGGAAAGACCCCGUGAACCUUUACUAUAGCUUUGCACUGGACUUUGAAUUUGCUUGUGUAGGAUAGGUGGGAGGCUUUGAAGCGUGGACGCCAGUUCGCGUGGAGCCAUCCUUGAAAUACCACCCUGGCAACUUUGAGGUUCUAACUCAGGUCCGUUAUCCGGAUCGAGGACAGUGUAUGGUGGGUAGUUUGACUGGGGCGGUCUCCUCCUAAAGAGUAACGGAGGAGUACGAAGGUGCGCUCAGACCGGUCGGAAAUCGGUCGUAGAGUAUAAAGGCAAAAGCGCGCUUGACUGCGAGACAGACACGUCGAGCAGGUACGAAAGUAGGUCUUAGUGAUCCGGUGGUUCUGUAUGGAAGGGCCAUCGCUCAACGGAUAAAAGGUACUCCGGGGAUAACAGGCUGAUACCGCCCAAGAGUUCAUAUCGACGGCGGUGUUUGGCACCUCGAUGUCGGCUCAUCACAUCCUGGGGCUGAAGCCGGUCCCAAGGGUAUGGCUGUUCGCCAUUUAAAGUGGUACGCGAGCUGGGUUUAGAACGUCGUGAGACAGUUCGGUCCCUAUCUGCCGUGGACGUUUGAGAUUUGAGAGGGGCUGCUCCUAGUACGAGAGGACCGGAGUGGACGAACCUCUGGUGUUCCGGUUGUCACGCCAGUGGCAUUGCCGGGUAGCUAUGUUCGGAAUAGAUAACCGCUGAAAGCAUCUAAGCGGGAAACUAGCCUCAAGAUGAGAUCUCACUGGAACCUUGAGUUCCCUGAAGGGCCGUCGAAGACUACGACGUUGAUAGGUUGGGUGUGUAAGCGCUGUGAGGCGUUGAGCUAACCAAUACUAAUUGCCCGUGAGGCUUGACC
rnacentral:rRNA from 1 species